rnacentral:rRNA from 1 species
UACGGGGGGAGCAAGCGUUGUUCGGAUUUACUGGGCGUAAAGUGUGCGCAGGCGGCCGCGCAAGUCGAGUGUGAAAUCCCCGAGCUUAACUUGGGAAUUGCGCUCGAAACUACGUGGCUGGAGUGUGGCAGAGGAAGGUGGAAUUCCUGGUGUAGCGGUGAAAUGCGCAGAUAUCAGGAGGAACACCGAUGGCGAAGGCAGCUCGCUGGGACGGUACUGACGCUGAGACGCGAAAGCGUGGGGAGCAAACAGG